rnacentral:rRNA from 1 species
UACGUAGGGUGCAAGCGUUGUCCGGAAUUAUUGGGCGUAAAGAGCUCGUGGGCGGUUUGUCGCGUCUGCUGUGAAAACGCGAGGCUCAACCUCGCGCCUGCAGUGGGUACGGGCAGACUAGAGUGCGGUAGGGGAGAUUGGAAUUCCUGGUGUAGCGGUGGAAUGCGCAGAUAUCAGGAGGAACACCGAUGGCGAAGGCAGAUCUCUGGGCCGUAACUGACGCUGAGGAGCGAAAGCGUGGGGAGCGAACAGG